UUUAAGUGCAGUCAUGUUUUUUCGUCUAACUUUGAUCGUCCGUCUUAUUUGAAGAUUUUUUUAUAUUUAAUUUUUUUGUUGUUAUUAGAUGAUAAAAUAUGAAUAGUCUUUACUAGUGACUUAUGUUCUUAAAUUUAAGACGGACGAUCAAAGUUGAACGUGCAAACUUAUGGUUGCACUUAAG
rfam:Oryza sativa Japonica Group DNA, chromosome 1, cultivar: Nipponbare, complete sequence.